GGUUGUGACCAUACCAGCACCAGUACAUCGGAUCCCAUUAGAACUCCGUAGCUAAGCGUGAUUGGGCGAGAGUAGUAUUAGGAUGGGUGACCUCCUGGAUAGUCCUCGUAUUGCAACCC